AUUAAAAAAAGUUGUUGAAUUUGAUGAGCUCUAUAACUGACUAAAAUUAAAGCACUUAUUUCUGGGGACAUCCUGUAUAUCUACUUCAAUUGAUAUCUCUCCCUGUGUGUCUAUUGUUAGUAUUGAUAUAAUAAAGACGCCCCUAUCCUCUCAUCUUGUGUAUAUAUACAUUUUCCUGCACUUUUCAUGCUUAUUUCAACGAAGCUUCUCGUCCCAUCUUAACACAAAAAAAACAAAUAUGGACAACUAUCGUUCUACUGUUGCUAAACCCAACGGUAAUACUACAAGUAACACGCGUCCUUCAGAGUUUCUCUUCUCUUCACCAGAAUCUAAAACUAUCGUCUACGUGCAAAGAGCCAAUAUAAAUAUACAUUUUCCUCCUAAUAAUGUUCCCAACGGUUCCAAACGGUCUUAAGUGCCGUAGUGGCCACCAAUGUAGUUGUUAUUAAUAAUAAUUAAUAAUAAACAGAAUCAACAUGAA